GAUGAACGCUGGCGGCGUGCCUAAUACAUGCAAGUCGAGCGAACGGACGAGAAGCUUGCUUCUCUGAUGUUAGCGGCGGACGGGUGAGUAACACGUGGAUAACCUACCUAUAAGACUGGGAUAACUUCGGGAAGCCGGAGCUAAUACCGGAUAAUAUUUUGAACCGCAUGGUUCAAAAGUGAAAGACGGUCUUGCUGUCACUUAUAGAUGGAUCCGCGCUGCAUUAGCUAGUUGGUAAGGUAACGGCUUACCGAGGCAACGAUGCAUAGCAGACCUGAGAGGGUGAUCGGCCACACUGGAACUGAGACACGGUCCAGACUCCUACGGGAGGCAGCAGUAGGGAAUCUUCCGCAAUGGGCGAAAGCCUGACGGAGCAACGCCGCGUGAGUGAUGAAGGUCUUCGGAUCGUAAAACUCUGUUAUUAGGGAAGAACAUAUGUGUAAGUAACUGUGCACAUCUUGACGGUACCUAAUCAGAAAGCCACGGCUAACUACGUG
rnacentral:rRNA from 1 species